AAUAGAUACCCUGGUAGUCCACGCCGUAAACGAUGAGUGCUAAGUGUUAGAGGGUUUCCGCCCUUUAGUGCUGCAGCUAACGCAUUAAGCACUCCGCCUGGGGAGUACGGUCGCAAGACUGAAACUCAAAGGAAUUGACGGGGGCCCGCACAAGCGGUGGAGCAUGUGGUUUAAUUCGAAGCAACGCGAAGAACCUUACCAGGUCUUGACAUCCUCUGACAACUCUAGAGAUAGAGCGUUCCCCUUCGGGGGACAGAGUGACAGGUGGUGCAUGGUUGUCGUCAGCUCGUGUCGUGAGAUGUUGGGUUAAGUCCCGCAACGAGCGCAACCCUUGAUCUUAGUUGCCAGCAUUUAGUUGGGCACUCUAAGGUGACUGCCGGUGACAAACCGGAGGAAGGUGGGGAUGACGUCAAAUCAUCAUGCCCCUUAUGACCUGGGCUACACACGUGCUACAAUGGAUGGUACAAAGGGCUGCAAGACCGCGAGGUCAAGCCAAUCCCAUAAAAACCAUUCUCAGUUCGGAUUGUAGG
rnacentral:rRNA from 1 species